rnacentral:ncRNA from 1 species
CCCGGCGGUACACGCAAGGUAUCAGGCCGCAGCUCGCUGUGCGUCGAGGACGUCGCAAGCGAGCGCCACGGUACACGGAUGUUCAACGGAUCUAGCGCCGUCACCGGUCCUGGCCCGCUGCUGGCACGUACGGUUAACCUUCGACAGGCAAACGCGUCCCCCGCCGCGUCCGCUCGCGCGUGGGGACCGCGAUACCGGUCAGCGACGCUAUUGCUUUGGGUACCCUUAGGACCCGUCUUGAAACACGGACCAAGGGGUCUAACAUGUACACGAGUCAUUGGGACUUGUAAUGAUAUACCUAAAGGCGAAAUGAAAGUGAAGGUCGGCCCUGGUUGUCGACCGAGGGAGGAUGGGCAACGUCGCGAUGCGGCUCCGCACUCCCGGGGCGUCUCGUUCUCAUCGCGAGAAGAGGCGCACCCAGAGCAUACACGUUGUGACCCGAAAGAUGGUGAACUAUGCCUGGUCAGGACAAAGUCAAAGGAAACCCUG